CAGCCGCCGCGGUAAUACCGGCGGCCCGAGUGGCGGUCACUAUUAUUGGGCUUAAAGCGUCCGUAGCCGGGUUGGGAAGUCCUCCGGGAAAUCUGGCCGCUUAACGGUCAGAAUGCCGGAGGAUACUCCCAGCCUAGGGAGCGGGAGAGGCCGAGGGUAUUCCCGGGGUAGGGGGGGAAUCCUAUAAUCCCGGGAGGACCACCUGGGGCGAAGGCGCUCGGCUGGAACGCGUCCGACGGUGAGGGACGAAGGCCAGGGGAGCAAACCGGAUUAGAUACCCGGGUAGUCCUGGCUGUAAACGAUGCGGACUUUGUGUCGGACAAGCUAUGAGCUUGUCCGGUGCCGGAGGGAAACCGUUAAGUCCGCCGCCUGGGGAGUACGGCCGCAAGGCUGAAACUUAAAGGAAUUGGCGGG
rnacentral:rRNA from 1 species